AGAGUUUGAUCCUGGCUCAGGAUGAACGCUGGCGGCGUGCCUAAUACAUGCAAGUCGAACGCACUGAUUUUAUCAGUGAGUGGCGAACGGGUGAGUAAUACAUAAGUAACCUGCCCUCAUGAGGGGGAUAACUAUUAGAAAUGAUAGCUAAGACCGCAUAGGUGAAGGGGUCGCAUGACCGCUUCAUUAAAUAUCCGUAUGGAUAGCAGGAGGAUGGACUUAUGGCGCAUUAGCUGGUUGGUGAGGUAACGGCUCACCAAGGCGACGAUGCGUAGCCGACCUGAGAGGGUGGACGGCCACACUGGGACUGAGACACGGCCCAGACUCCUACGGGAGGCAGCAGUAGGGAAUUUUCGGCAAUGGGGGAAACCCUGACCGAGCAACGCCGCGUGAGCGAAGAAGGCCUUCGGGUCGUAAAGCUCUGUUGUAAAGGAAGAACGGCGCAUACAGGAAAUGGUAUGCGAGUGACGGUACUUUACCAGAAAGCCACGGCUAACUACGUGCCAGCAGCCGCGGUAAUACGUAGGUGGCGAGCGUUAUCCGGAAUCAUUGGGCGUAAAGAGGGAGCAGGCGGCCGCAAGGGUCUGUGGUGAAAGACCGAAGCUAAACUUCGGUAAGCCAUGGAAACCGGGCGGCUAGAGUGCGGAAGAGGAUCGUGGAAUUCCAUGUGUAGCGGUGAAAUGCGUAGAUAUAUGGAGGAACACCAGUGGCGAAGGCGACGGUCUGGGCCGCAACUGACGCUCAUUCCCGAAAGCGUGGGGAGCAAAUAGGAUUAGAUACCCUAGUAGUCCACGCCGUAAACGAUGGUCACUAAGUGUCGGGGGUCAAACCCCGGUGCUGCAGUCAACGCAAUAAGUGACCCGCCUGAGUAGUACGUUCGCAAGAAUGAAACUCAAAGGAAUUGACGGGGGCCCGCACAAGCGGUGGAGCAUGUGGUUUAA
rnacentral:rRNA from 1 species